rnacentral:rRNA from 1 species
AGUAUAAGCAAUUAUACCGUGAAACUGCGAAUGGCUCAUUAAAUCAGUUAUCGUUUAUUUGAUAGUACCUUACUACUUGGAUAACCGUGGUAAUUCUAGAGCUAAUACAUGCUGAAAACCCCGACUUUUGGAGGGGUGUAUUUAUUAGAUAAAAAACCAAUGCCCUUUGGGCUCUUUGGCGAUUCAUAGUAACUUAACGGAUCGCAUGGCCUUGCGCCGGCGACGGUUCAUUCAAAUUUCUGCCCUAUCAACUUUCGAUGGUAAGGUAUUGGCUUACCAUGGUUUCAACGGGUAACGGGGAAUUAGGGUUCGACUCCGGAGAGGGAGCCUGAGAAACGGCUACCACAUCCAAGGAAGGCAGCAGGCGCGCAAAUUACCCAAUCCCAAUACGGGGAGGUAGUGACAAUAAAUACUGAUACAGGGCUCUUUUGGGUCUUGUAAUUGGAAUGAGUACAAUUUAAACCUCUUAACGAGGAACAAUUGGAGGGCAAGUCUGGUGCCAGCAGCCGCGGUAAUUCCAGCUCCAAUAGCGUAUAUUAAAGUUGUUGCAGUUAAAAAGCUCGUAGUUGAAUCUUGGGCCUGGCUGGCCGGUCCGCCUCACCGCGUGUACUGGUCCGGCCGGGUCUUUCCUUCUGGAGAGCCGCAUGCCCUUUACUGGGUGUGUCGGGGAACCAGGACUUUUACUUUGAAAAAAUUAGAGUGUUCAAAGCAGGCCUUUGCUCGAAUACGUUAGCAUGGAAUAAUAGAAUAGGACAUGUGGUCCUAUUUUGUUGGUUUCUAGGACCGCUGUAAUGAUUAAUAGGGAUAGUCGGGGGCAUUAGUAUU